AUGCACACACACAUACAAACAUAAACACACAUACAUACAUACAUACAUACAUACAUCGUGCAUCGUCCUCCUUUCACCAUCAUCUUUUUACCCUCUCCUAUGUUGUUUUAUUUUGUGUGUUUAGAUAUCAGAACGAAUUAAGUUGUAUCUCUGUAAUAAAUGUUCAGUUAAUGCAUGUGUUUGUUAUCAAUGAAAGUGUGUCUGUCUGUCUAUCUGUCCAUUUGUGUUGUCACUGGAGAGGCAGCGAGAAAAGUCGUGUAUGUCGUGAUGGCUCCAAGGGGUCGUGAAAUGUGCUAGAGAAGGACGCAAGUGUGAAGGGAGGGUCGUGUUAUUACGUGGAGAUGAUGACACGACACGCUAGAUAAGAUACAGGUUUAGGAGGACCGUGUCUUAACCCCAUCAAUAUUGAAACACAUUUUUACCUUGAAUUUUUAGGUAUGAUUAGAUUAUUUUAUUUGCACUAAGAAGGGUCUAUGGAGGUCAGAAGAUUAAUGGCCACAGUCUUCACUAUUUGAACCCCGCACAUGAGUUUCUGAAGCUGUAUAAAAUCACCAAAUAGUCACCAGAAAAAAACAUGAAAACGCGUCCUGGUACUAAAAAGAUUACGUGAAGAUCUUGACAUGACUUGAUAGAUAAGAUACAGGUGGUUAAUGGUGACUGGGGAAGUGUGUAUGUGUGUUACCGUGCUACUGUGUGCUAUUUGGUCCAGCGGCAUUGGUAGACAGCAGAGUGUGUGUUCAGUGUUCAGAAAGCGGUAUUACGAUUAAAAUCCAGACAUUGCUCUAAGCUCUUAACCUCCAAACGCCGAGCCUCAUCGCUUGAUACGUAUGAGAGAGAGAGAGAGAGAGAGAGAGAGAGAGAAUCAUUGCUUGUCUAUUCGUAGGAUAUAAAGAAGAGCAAAUAAGUUGAAGAAGAAGAAGAAGAAGAAAAGGAGGAGGUGGAUAAGGAAAUAUAUAAAACAAAAAACAAGAGAGAAAAAAAAUAAAAAGUGAGAAAGAAAGAAAACGAAGAGGGA